AAAGCGUGCGCAGGCGGUUUUGUAAGUCUGUCGUGAAAUCCCCGGGCUCAACCUGGGAAUGGCGAUGGAGACUGCAAGGCUAGAGUUUGGCAGAGGGGGGUAGAAUUCCACGUGUAGCAGUGAAAUGCGUAGAGAUGUGGAGGAACACCGAUGGCGAAGGCAGCCCCCUGGGUCAAAACUGACGCUCAUGCACGAAAGCGUGGGGAGCAAACAGGAUUAGAUACCCGUGU
rnacentral:rRNA from 1 species